rnacentral:lncRNA from 1 species
CGACGAUAAGUCGAUUCCAAACAAAGUUCAACUCUCGAAUUUCAAGAAUUCACUUCCUUACAUCCUCCCCACCUUAAAAAGAGUUUCGUCCUCGAAACGAACUCAAUUCACUUCAAAUCCAACUCACCCCUCAACUCAGCCUAUUGAGUAGUCGAGGGAUCCAAUGCACUUUCGCCAAAUCCAGGUGGCUAUACAAUACCCAAGUGUCUCCUAGAGACCACUUUGCUUUCUCUUCUAAUUGCCACGGCCAAUUCGACUUCGUUGUCGCAAUCAUCCGACACGAACACUCCGUUCGUGAUCUAAGCCAACCUCACUAACAGAGUUAUCGACUAAACCGCUCCUCGGUUUCCAC